CGAUGAAGCCCAGCUUGCUGGGCUGGAUUAGUGGCGAACGGGUGAGUAACACGUGAGUAACCUGCCCUUGACUUCGGGAUAACUCCGGGAAACCGGGGCUAAUACUGGAUAUGAGCCGUCCUCGCAUGGGGGUGGUUGGAAAGUUUUUCGGUCAGGGAUGGGCUCGCGGCCUAUCAGCUUGUUGGUGGGGUGAUGGCCUACCAAGGCGACGACGGGUAGCCGGCCUGAGAGGGCGACCGGCCACACUGGGACUGAGACACGGCCCAGACUCCUACGGGAGGCAGCAGUGGGGAAUAUUGCACAAUGGGCGCAAGCCUGAUGCAGCGACGCCGCGUGAGGGAUGAAGGCCUUCGGGUUGUAAACCUCUUUCAGCAGGGAAGAAGCGCAAGUGACGGUACCUGCAGAAGAAGCGCCGGCUAACUACGUGCCAGCAGCCGCGGUAAUACGUAGGGCGCAAGCGUUGUCCGGAAUUAUUGGGCGUAAAGAGCUCGUAGGCGGUUUGUCGCGUCUGGUGUGAAAACUCGAGGCUCAACCUCGAGCUUGCAUCGGGUACGGGCAGACUAGAGUGCGGUAGGGGAGACUGGAAUUCCUGGUGUAGCGGUGGAAUGCGCAGAUAUCAGGAGGAACACCGAUGGCGAAGGCAGGUCUCUGGGCCGCAACUGACGCUGAGGAGCGAAAGCAUGGGGAGCGAACAGGAUUAGAUACCCUGGUAGUCCAUGCCGUAAACGUUGGGCACUAGGUGUGGGGCUCAUUCCACGAGUUCCGUGCCGCAGCAAACGCAUUAGUGCCCGCCUGGGGAGUACGGCGCAAGGUAAUC
rnacentral:rRNA from 1 species